rnacentral:ncRNA from 1 species
AUAAAGGCAAUGCGAAAGAGGAGUAUCCGGUAUGCCGGUUUGCAGAGAGGAAGCGGAGGGUGCGAGCUUCCAGCCGGGAUCGGAGAAGGUGGCUUUCGGGCCCUGACCCUGAAUGGCAGUAGGGGGCGGCGGGACUUCCCGUUACAGAAGACAGAAGUGCCCCUUCGGGGGAAUUCAGGUGGUACCGCGGAGAUUAUUCGCCCUGAGU